UACGGGGGGGGCAAGCGUUGUUCGGAAUUACUGGGCGUAAAGGGCUCGUAGGCGGCCAACUAAGUCGGACGUGAAAUCCCUCGGCUUAACCGGGGAACUGCGUCCGAUACUGGAUGGCUUGAGUUUGGGAGAGGGAUGCGGAAUUCCAGGUGUAGCGGUGAAGUGCGUAGAUAUCUGGAGGAACACCGGUGGCGAAGGCGGCAUCCUGGACCAACACUGACGCUGAGGAGCGAAAGCCAGGGGAGCAAACGGG
rnacentral:rRNA from 1 species